AUUGAACGCUGGCGGCAGGCCUAACACAUGCAAGUCGAACGAGUGGCGGACGGGUGAGUAAUGUCUGGGAAACUGCCCGAUGGAGGGGGAUAACUACUGGAAACGGUAGCUAAUACCGCAUACCAUCGGAUGUGCCCAUAUGGGAUUAGCUAGUAGGGGGUGUAACGGCUCACCUAGGCGACGAUCCCGAGCUGGUCUGAUAGGAUGACCAGCCACACUGGAACUGAGACACGGUCCAGACUCCUACGGGAGGCAGCAGUGGGGAAUAUUGGACAAUGGGCGCAAGCCUGAUCCAGCCAUCCCGCGUGUAUGAAGAAGGCCUUCGGGUUGUAAAGUACUUUCGGCGAGGAGGCGUUACUCGCAGAAGAAGCACCGGCUAACUCCGUGCCAGCAGCCGCGGUAAUUC
rnacentral:rRNA from 1 species